CUUACAUCUCUAUACACCUCCCAGCUAUUGCUAGCUGUGUGUAUAAAUAUGGUACCAACACUCCAUUUCUUUGCAACCAGCCUCGAGUGGUUUCCCUCUGGUGGCAUAGAGCUACAUAGACCAGUCAUGGAUAACACGCCUGAUUCUGGGACAAUUAGGAACAAAUGCGCAGCAUGUUUCAGGCAAUACAACAAAGUGGAGCGCUUGGUGGAACAUAUGAGAGCCUCAUUUCACUCGGUGCAUGAGCCGAAGUGUGGGAUAUGCCAAAAGCACUGCAGAUAUCUUGAAUCUCUCAGGGAACAUCUAAUAGGACCACUUCCGAAGAUUGAAUGUGCAAGGAUAUUCAGCACUCGAGGAUGUGAUUUAUGCUUGGACAUCUUCCAAUGUCCAAAUGCUCUUAGAAUUCACCGUGGAACAUGCCAACUCUCCUGUGCUGUUCCGGGGCUUAUCUCUCGGAUGUCGAGGUUGAGCUUUCAGGGUCCAAGCUCGUCGGAUCAUGUCACACGAAUGCAAGGUUCCAAGGUAAUUGCUUUAGGCUGCACGAUGGUCGGAGGAGGAAGUGACGGAUCGUUAGAUCUUUGCGCAAGGGUCUUCCUGAUCGGGGAAGAUGAAAACAUCAUUUUCCAGACUUACAUCAAGCCCCUAAUCCUGGUGACAAACUACAGCAAGAUGGAACAACACGAAUCCUUGAGAUUUCAAUCUUUCCCGUUUGCGUCGAUAUAUAUCGUGGUGAACCAUGUUCCGACACCUAAAGGGGUCGAAGGAACGAGCCAUGGCGGCGGGAAUAGCCGGCGCACGAAAAGCCCUCGCAAACCGAUCCAUUUCUUCUGCUCCGUUCUCCGUUGCCGCCACCUUGAGAGCUUCUCCUUCUUCUUCUCCUUCAGUUUGGGCCUUUGCUCGACUCCCUCGCGGCCGGCUUCCCUUCGGGAUCUCAAGGUCCCCCGUUGAGUUGGGUUGUGCACAGUCUUUGAUGCCUUUUCACAGUGCUACUGCUACGGCAUUGCUCACUUCUAUGCUCUCCACAAGACCUGGAGGUUGGACUUGGCUUUCAGAAGGUUUUGCGACGCCUCUAUGACAUCAGAGAUAAACUCAAAACAAACACCCUGAUGAGGACCGGCAGGGGGUAUUAUUUUUUCAAGGCACUACUGCUUCGGAUGCUGAUCUCGAGUCUAUCUUCUAAAAUGAAAUUAUGUUGGAUUUCAGUUUCAUCAUUAAAGAAAUAUUUCAUUUCUGGACUUGUAUUAGGAAUGCACUUUUCAUCCUUCCCCCUGGCAUGCCAAAUCUGAUAGUGAUCGAACUAUUUGUCAAAAUUUAUUGAUAUGUUUCGGUCACCAUUCGGAUUGGAGUGUUUCAGUUAUUUAGACGUGCAAGGUUUGGGGAUCGUAGUAUACUAUUUCUGCCGGUCUUGACAUGCUUGCUUGUGGGCAGUGCGUCGGAAAGGUCAACCAAGUCUCCGUCAUCUGCAACCCGAUGACCAUUUGCUAUGCUGAGGUGGAUGUGGCGGAGAAUGAAAUGAAUCGUGUCGUCUCUGUUCGUGAUGCUGAAAGAUCAAAUGCUAAUGGAUGUACACUCGACAAGAUUCCAAGUGACGGUAUGAAACGAGACUCGAUGAUUGUUGACUUCAA